rnacentral:rRNA from 1 species
CUGAGUAGUUAGCCUAACCGCAAGGAGGGCGAUUACCACGGUAGGGUUCAUGACUGGGGUGAAGUCGUAACAAGGUAGCCGUAUCGGAAGGUGCGGCUGGAUCACCUCCUUUA